ensembl:lncRNA
AGACUGAUGGGUGCUGUCAGAAACUAAUCCCUUUGGUUUGGGAAGGGGCUGAGUGGACACUGACACCCAGUCAAAAUGAAUAGACAUAAGCCUUUUUUUUUCAGCCGGAGCAAAAAGCGCUGGCCUUUCCUCUUGCUAGUCCACAGCAGGGAAAGGUUAUCACCAAGUGGCACCCAGAAUGACCCUAACUCACACAGGCUUACUGUAUCUAUGCAGGGCAGUGCAGUAUUAUCUCAGAGUCUGUGCUGCAUUGUUCAUGUGAGCAAGAUGAAGUAACAAAAAUAUGCUGGUUAGAACACUGACCUUCAGUGGAAUCACUUAUAUUUUUUGGAAACUACACUUGUCUGAGCACAGCUGUCUGCUCUGGUAAACAGAACACUCUAAAAUUACCUUGUUAAAUCUGUUGAAUGGCUCUGUUUUAUGUUCUAGUUUUAAGUGAAUACAUUCCCGAAGGGUGAGAAGGGAGGCUGAAUAAAGCAGCUCUGAAUUCUGUGAUUCUGAAAACAAAAGAAGUUUUGUCAAACAGCUUUGUCUUCUAGAACUAGUUCUUAUUAGUUCGAUAUGCACUUGCAUUUGGCCAGAAUGUCAUUCAAAAUACUUAAUUAAGACCUAGAACCAUUCAUUUUUGGGUAAUGACUGUAUUUAAAUGACAAUGUAUUUCCUUUUGCAGGAAUCACAGACUGAACAUCGGGAUGCUGAAGAGAAGGCAAUGCAGUAGAGACUCCACAACUGUAUCCAUGCUAAUGUAUUAACUUUCUGGUUCUCUGAGACUUGUACACCUGCAAACUCUACGGAAGAUACUAGCAGUCCUGAGCUGUGUCUGUGUUAUCCUGUCAGGUCAAGUAUGAGCUCUCUGAGAGUGCUGACCCACUGUAACAAAGCAGGCAGAUCAAGUCAAGAAAGCUCUGGAACGGAGCUUGGAAAUACUGGACGGGAGAGCAAAGAGACCUCGGGGCAUUGCACCAGGAUGGUGGGAUGGAUUUCCACUCACAGGAUAAACAAAAGACCAGGGAAAGAGGUCAGAGUAUCUAUUUUGGGAACUAUGCCUAAUGGUAGUUACGAUUAAGGACAGGUAAAUAAUCUGUGUACUUCACUGCCUCACAUCAAUCCUGUAUUUUACCUCAUGCUUUAUUUGUUUCAUUUACAUUAUGACUCUAAAUGUUGAAGCACCACCAAGCUUUCCAUGCAUGAAAAUAGAAGUUGAGUACUUUUCCAGUUAAGUGUGUCUCAGACUAUUGAAACAGGAAUCAGUCACAAGCUUUGAUUUAAAAUAGAUCCUUCUGUAGACUUCUUGAGCAACACCAAGAGCUCAUCUUGAACAUGCUCUACCAAAGGAUGACUAUUUUAGAAGCUGUCUCCAGCAUAAUACAGAUAGCAGCAGCUUUUCAGAGAGUCAGUAUACUCUCAAUAUUUCAAAGAAAAAGGAAAUACUGUGUUUUAUAAACCAAGUGACUCUGAUGUAGAAACUGAAAUUGAUGGGUGUUUUUGGUCUCCUACAGACUGCUUUGCUUUUCCAUCUCUAAACUCAAUAAGCAGCUCCACAAUUAAUUUCAGUGAUUGUAUAAGCUGCUCUAUUUAGGAUGGGUGAUGAAGGAUUAGUUCCUGUCCUCUUCAAAAUGAAGAAAUGCUGGGAGUAUUCAUUUAAAGAGAUUAUUAUGGGAUUUCUGUUAGUGAUGUUAGUGCUUGUAUAAUUAAUAGCUGACAAUGGCAACAAAAUUCUUAAGUCUAAGGUGUGUUAUUCUUGGAUAACAUGAAAUCUUUUUAGCCUUUAGCUUACUGUAUUCAGUCCUUCAGACAAUUCCUUCCACAGAUUUAAGGCUGUCCUGUUACAGAGUAGAUCUAUGAGCUUAAUGGAUGUUGAAUAAUUAAUUGAUAGGUCUAGAAGAUAAUUGUGCUUUCUUCAAAUUAUUGCUGAUUUCUUUGAAUAAAGAUUUUUUCCUCAG